rnacentral:rRNA from 1 species
AUUGAACGCUGGCGGAAUGCUUUACACAUGCAAGUCGAACGGCAGCACGGACUUCGGUCUGGUGGCGAGUGGCGAACGGGUGAGUAAUGUAUCGGAACGUGCCCAGUCGUGGGGGAUAACGUAGUGAAACUUACGCUAAUACCGCAUACGAUCUAUGGAUGAAAGCGGGGGAUCGCAAGACCUAGCGCGACUGGAGCCGCCGAGAUCAGAUUAGGUAGUUGGUGGGGUAAAGGCCCACCAAGCCAACGAUCUGUAGCUGGUCUGAGAGGACGACCAGCCACACUGGAACUGAGACACGGUCCAGACUCCUACGGGAGGCAGCAGUGGGGAAUUUUGGACAAUGGGCGAAAGCCUGAUCCAGCCAUUCCGCGUGCAGGAUGAAGGCCCUCGGGUUGUAAACUGCUUUUGUACAGAACGAAAAGGUUUCUACUAAUACUAGGAGCUCAUGACGGUACUGUAAGAAUAAGCACCGGCUAACUACGUGCCAGCAGCCGCGGUAA